rnacentral:rRNA from 1 species
CCUACGGGAGGCAGCAGUGAGGAAUAUUCCACAAUGGGGGAAACCCUGAUGGAGCGAUGCCGCGUGCAGGAAGACGCUUUUCGGAGUGUAAACUGCUUUUAACAAGGAAGAUUAUGACGGUACUUGUAGAAUAAGGACCGGCUAACUACGUGCCAGCAGCCGCGGUAAUACGUAGGGUCCAAGCGUUAUUCGGAAUUACUGGGCGUAAAGCGUUCGUAGGCGGUUUGAUAAGUUGGAUGUGAAAUCCUGUGGCUCAACCACAUGGACUGUGUCCAAAACUAUCUGACUAGAGCAUAGUAGAGGCAAGUGGAAUUUGCGGUGUAGGAGUGACAUCCGUAGAUAUCGCAAGGAACACCAAUGGCGAAGGCAGCUUGCUGGGCUAUUGCUGACGCUCAGGAACGAAAGCGUGGGGAGCGAACGGGAUUAGAUACCCCGGUAGUCCACGCCGUAAACGAUGAUCACUAGCAGUAUGGAGAUUCGACCCUCUGUGUUGCACAGCUAACGCGUUAAGUGAUCCGCCUGGGGAGUACGGGCGCAAGCUUAAAACUCAAAGGAAUUGACGG